AGCGAACGCUGGCGGCAGGCCUAACACAUGCAAGUCGAACGAACCCUUCGGGGUUAGUGGCGGACGGGUGAGUAACACGUGGGAACGUGCCUUUAGGUUCGGAAUAACUCAGGGAAACUUGUGCUAAUACCGAAUGUGCCCUUCGGGGGAAAGAUUUAUCGCCUUUAGAGCGGCCCGCGUCUGAUUAGCUAGUUGGUGAGGUAAUGGCUCACCAAGGCUACGAUCAGUAGCUGGUCUGAGAGGAUGAACAGCCACAUUGGGACUGAGACACGGCCCGAACUCCUACGGGAGGCAGCAGUGGGGAAUCUUGCGCAAUGGGCGAAAGCCUGACGCAGCCAUGCCGCGUGGAUGAUGAAGGUCUUAGGAUUGUAAAAUCCUUUCACCGGUGAAGAUAAUGACUGUAGCCGGAGAAGAAGCCCCGGCUAACUUCGUGCCAGCAGCCGCCGUAAUAC
rnacentral:rRNA from 1 species